rnacentral:rRNA from 1 species
AGGAAUCUCCACAAUGGACGCAAGUCUGAUGGAGCAACGCCGCGUGAGUGAAGAAGGUUUUCGGACCGUAAAGCUCUGUUGUUGGUGAAGAAGGAUAGAGGCGUAACUGGCCUUUAUUUGACGGUAAUCAACCAGAAAGUCACGGCUAACUACGUGCCAGCAGCCGCGGUAAAUCGUAGGUGGCAAGCGUUGUCCGGAUUUAUUGGGCGUAAAGCGAGCGCAGGCGGAAGAAUAAGUCUGAUGUGAAAGCCCUCGGCUUAACCGAGGAAUUGCAUCGGAAACUGUUUUUCUGAGUGCAGAAGAGGAGAGUAGAACUCCAUGUGUAGCGGUGGAAUGCGUAGAUAUAUGGAAGAAUACCAGUGGCGAAGGCGGCUCUCUGGUCUGCAACUGACGCUGAGGCUCGAAAGCAUGGGUAGCGAACAGGAUUAGAUACCCCU